rnacentral:rRNA from 1 species
UACGUAGGGUGCGAGCGUUGUUCGGAAUCAUUGGGCGUAAAGCGUGAGUAGGUGGUUUGCUAAGUCGGGUGUGAAAGCCCUGGGCUCAACCCAGGAAGUGCAUUCGAAACUAGCUGACUUGAAGAUGGUAGAGGAAGGUGGAAUUCCAAGUGUAGAGGUGAAAUUCGUAGAUAUUUGGAGGAAUACCGGCGGCGAAGGCGGCCUUCUGGACCAUUCUUGACACUGAGACACGAAAGCGUGGGUAGCAAACAGG